AGGACGAACGCUGGCGGCGUGCUUAACACAUGCAAGUCGAGCGGAAAGGCCCUUCGGGGUACUCGAGCGGCGAACGGGUGAGUAACACGUGAGUAAUCUGCCCCUAGCUCUGGGAUAGCUCCGGGAAACCGGGAUUAAUACCGGAUACGACCACUUUAGACAUCUGUUGUGGUGGAAAGAAUUUUGGCUAGGGAUGAGCUCGCGGCCUAUCAGCUUGUUGGUGGGGUAAUGGCCUACCAAGGCGACGACGGGUAGCCGGCCUGAGAGGGCGACCGGCCACACUGGGACUGAGACACGGCCCAGACUCCUACGGGAGGCAGCAGUGGGGAUAUUGCGCAAUGGGCGAAAGCCUGACGCAGCGACGCCGCGUGGGGGAUGAAGGCCUUCGGGUUGUAAACCCCUUUCAGCAGGGACGAAGCGAAAGUGACGGUACCUGCAGAAGAAGCGCCGGCUAACUACGCGCCAGCAGCCGC
rnacentral:rRNA from 1 species